GGAGUGCCCUGCACUUGACUUAUCUUCUGCUGUUCUUCAUGUCCUCUACACAAAAGAUUCUCAUGUAAUGAAAACCAUGUUGCUAGUUCCUUUAGUGCGAUCGAGAGUUGCUCCUGAGUCACCUAGAACUGUAGCUUCUGCUGAUGUGAAGACUUCCUGCCUCACGGAUAACAUGAUGUGAGGCCCUACUUGCUCCAGAGCCUGACUGGCGUGGAUCUCCCGGUACACAGAAAGGCAAAGCUAUCUGAAAAUAGAAAAAGAGGAAGAGACUGCAAAAUCUACCAAACAAAUAUGAAGAAACUGUUUUUGAAAGUAAUUUAGGGAGAUAAAGAGCACACUUAGAAAACAUGGGCAUGACACACACACAGCAGUAAACUCAUAUCCACCUGAAUGGGCUUUGAGCAGGAGUUUGGCAUUCUCAACCUGGGAUUCAUGUUGGCCUGAGAUUGGUGGCAUGUUACCGUACACUUCUGACAAGGUUAGCAGGAUGUUCCAGAUUUUCCUUAGUUUGACAACAAAACUUUUACGCUUACAGAAGAAGUGAGAUUUUAGAAGGGCCUUCUUCGGACACCCAACACUAUGCAGGACACAGAUUUUCCAUACAUAAAGUUCACUUUGCUAACUCUCAAUAUAUGAAGCCAUAAUAAAGCCACAUUUCGUACUGAGCCACAAUUUACCUAGCCAUAAUGGAUUGGAGUGGUGCCUUAUGGAUUAUCCAUAUUAUCUAUGAUAUCUCCAUUCUAAAUGACUUGAUGCAGUGGGACAUAGUAUCACAUCCACUUGAAAUUUCUUUAAUAUUCUCCAUGCAAACUUUUCAGUAUUUGGUUCCUUGGCUGUUUUUCAAAUGGAUAGCUUGGUACAUUUAUGACUUGACCGGGCAAUGAAAAGUGUAGAUGAUUCAUAUUGUUCAGCAAUACUUCAAAUUGCAUUGAACAGAUGAAAUGCGUGACAGAAGUGGAGAGAGAAUGCAGAGUACGGAAGCAUAGCACUCAGUAAGCCUGCAGGAGAGGUAAGCAGAACCAUCAAAUAUAGUUUGUAGGAGUUCUCCUGCUAUUUAAUGAUUUUGAAGUUUUUUUAGGCCUGCAGGUCAACAUCCCAAGAAGAUGUCGGAGCAACUAAGAAGGAAGAUCAAGAACCUGGAAGAUAGGGAGAGACAGGUUCUCUGGAAGGGAAAGCUGGAAAUGAAGCAGGUUAAGAGCUUCACCUGUCACAAAAGAAUUACACUUGCAAUAAGGCAGAUGUCAAAAAGACAGUAUUAGCUCGGAAGACUUCAAAACAGGUGUUUGGAAGAAGGAGAGAAUCUCAUUCAUAACCUAAACUGAAAAUAUUCAACAUAAACAGCAACUUACUUGCAUCAAGACUAUAUCAAGGGUUGACAAAUUCACCUGUCUGGUGCUUCAUGCAGCUGAUUUAUCUGCCUGGACAGGUGGAAAACUGCCUAGACUUAUCCGUGAGUAAAGUGGAGUUGUUAGUGCAGUGCCAUUGAGGAAGUGCUUUCUCUCACUGCAACAGUCGGAGUAAGCAUGUUACAGUGCUACAAAUUAGCAGACAGUUUUAAAACAGUUCCCAAGCAUUGAAAUUAGAAGUGCUUAAUGCAGAAUUCAUAUUUUCUAGCUCAGUCACAACGGGACUCUGGUGAAUUUAAUUUUUAUUGCUUUCAUGUUGUAACAGUCAUUUGUCUUUUGGAGGCAAUCAUGGGAGCAGCAUUACAGCAGGACAUAUGAAGAUUCUUGUUUGCAUCUUGUAAUCCUGAUGAUAUUAAUUCUUUACUACAAGCAAAUGCCACCUGGAAAAUAAAAUUCUGUUCUUACACUCGUACUCAUGUUGCACAAUAC